rnacentral:rRNA from 1 species
AAUGAACGCUGGCGGCGCGCCUAAUACAUGCAAGUCGAGCGAGAAGACGUAGCAAUACGUUUGUAAAGCGGCGAACGGGUGAGGAAUACAUGGGUAACCUACCCUCGAGUGGGGAAGUAACUAGCCGAAAGGUUAGCUAAUACCGCGUACGCUUCUUGGACUUCGGUUCAGGGAGGAAAGACGAUGCCGAGGGUAUCGCGCUCUUGGAUGGGCUCAUGUCCUAUCAGCUUGUUGGGAGGU